rnacentral:misc_RNA from 1 species
CAACCCUCAAGCUCUGCUUGGUAUUAGGUCUCGCCUCUUAUGGUGGACUUUAAAAUCAGUGGCGGUGCCAUUCGGCUUCAAGCGUAGUAACAUAUCUCGUUUCGGAGUACCGGUUGAGUGCCUGCCAGAAACCCUAAUUUUUCAAA